GAAAGCUGUGUGCAAUGAAAAAUGCAAGCACGGUUUGGGGAGGGGUUUUUUACCUUUUUUUUUCAUUUUAACAAGGAAAUUAUCUACUCCAU
rfam:Capsella rubella cultivar Monte Gargano unplaced genomic scaffold scaffold_2, whole genome shotgun sequence.